rnacentral:rRNA from 1 species
GCCGGUGACAAUGGGGCCAAGCCUGAGGACCCUGCCGGGGGUAGGAAAAGGGCUUUCGGUUUGAAAAGAAUUUUAGGGGGGAAGGAGGGGGUGGGGGUAAAAACCCUGGUCGAUGGACUUCCCCCGAAAAAAAACCCCCGGUUAAUUCCGGGCCACCACCCGGGGUAAUAA